rnacentral:lncRNA from 1 species
AUUAUUCGGGGUCCAUUUAUGACGGUUGUCAUUCAUUGGGGUUCAUCUUCGGGGUUCAUUUGUGUUGAUUGUUAUUCAUAUUGGGGUUCAUCUCGGGGUUCAUUUAUGACGGUUGUCAUUCACUUGGGGUUCAUCUUGGGGUUCACCUUUGGGGUUCAUUUAUGACGGUUGUCAUUCAUAUUGGGGUUCAUCUUCGGGGUUCAUUUGUGACGGUUGUUA